rnacentral:sRNA from 1 species
AAGCACCCCAACAUCGUAGCACUCAAAGGUUACUGUUUGGAUAAAGGAAAGGGUCUACUUGUUUACGAUUAUGUUGGAAAUGUCACUCUAAACGACGCCCUUCACAGCGAGGCAUGCGAACCUGUGUCAUGGGUUCACCGUCUCCGGAUUGCUCUAGGUGUUGCUCAGGCUCUAGACUAUUUGCACUCAGCGUUCUGCCGUCCCGUGGC